rnacentral:lncRNA from 1 species
GGAUCUUUGCAGGCUCCUCAAUAUUUAUAAGAAAAAUAUGCAUGAGAUGGGAACUAGGCGUCUCGACUGAAUGCCUGGAAUAGAAUGACCCUCUAUUAAAGGCACUAGGAGAUGAUUUUCCAACUGGGCAACCUAUACAAAGUCUAUACCUGUUAACAGCUAAUCCAAUGCCAACUUACACUUACUGAUCAUUGAGCAUGUAUAAACCUGUGGAAAUUCUCAGAGUGACAAUAUAAACUUACUUCCAUUUCAUAUGCAAUUGACAGCUAAAAGCAUGAAUGUAUUUUCUGGUUUUGGUAGAUUUUCCUUUAUUUUGAAUAUGAACAUGUUGUAUGCCACCCUAGAAUCUAUGAAGUUGAUAUUAAUAUAAUAAUGAAUGUGGUAGUUAAUAGAACUGACAGAUUCUUUCUGCCUCCAUACACUGUCCUUCCAUGCCAUACCAUGCUGCCAUCAACAAGAUCAUAAAGCAUAGCCUAGACACUACAUGCUUCCCUUCCCAACUCAAGCCAGUGGGGCUAGGCCAAAGGGAUGGUAAAAGGCUGGAUAGUAUGACAGUUUUCCCAUUCUGUGGUGGUAGGUCCCUCAUCUGGUAUACCACAUGCUGUGACACCUUCUCCAGUGGCAACUUGGUGUUGUCAGCUACCAGCCCAGGCUCUGCUGCUCAUUAGACUGAGAAAAGUGAACUGUCAAGGUAUUGGUUGCUCUCUGACAGGUUUAUGGCCGAGCCUGUGGCAGUUAAAACCUCCAGGGCAGAGAUUAUCCACAAGUGCAAGACCUAUGAGUCAGAGAGGCUGUUCCCGCACAUCUCCCUCGCUAUCCUCUGGGGUAACACCUUUUCCAUUUUGUCUGCUAGUGUCACAAGAAAUGUUUCUAUAUUGUGAGAAGCAAGAUUCUCUGUUAAUCCAUCAUGCACUCUAUAUGUAUGAAUUAAAUAAACCAAAUUUAUCAUUUGUAUAUUUGCAAUAAGUAAAUGUUGAGAUGUUUUUUUCCUGGUAUGCUAACAGUUAUUUUGUAAUGCUAACACAUAGGGUAGGAGCAGAUGUAGUUGUUGCCCCUUCAUAUAAUUUAGACACUUGGUUUCUUCACUAUUAACAUCCUCAUCCUUUCCACCAUCAUGAUUAACAGCAACAAAAGUAAACAAAUGCAUUUGUAAUCUAAAAAGAAAGGGGUAAUGCAAAUGGUAAAUUUAAAUGGGUAGUAAAACCAUCAAAUUAGAGAAAGCACCUCUGUGAAGAAAUAUUUGAUAAAGUAACCAUGAACAUAGUAUUACUUUAACUUGAUCUCAAAACUGCACUCAAGAAAUCUCUAAUCAUAGACUUAACUCAUCAUAAAGGUUAACAUAUGUGCCUUUAUCAAAUCUUUAUAUAUAACCAUAUCAUUUCACUAGAUCUAUGUGUUUUAAGGUGCCACUUUUCUUGCUGCUAAUUUUGGUUCUCUCAACACAAAAUGUCAUCUUGUAUUGUUAUUUGUUCUUAGUAUUUCAAAACCAUAAUGUUGUCUUGUUAUUGAAAGUGAAUGAAGCCUGUUGGUGAGCUAGCUUGAUUGCUGCUAUCAAUUAUUGUAGUAAUUAAAUUUAAGGGUUUCAUGAUGCCAUCAUGUUUCUCUAAGUUAGUGAUUUUUACCAUUCUAUUAGUCUUAAAAGUAGAUCUAGUUUCUUCACUGUACCUGGGUGUGGCACACAUCUCAUGAUGUCAUCUUUUUUGUGGAUUUAAUUACUUUUGAUGUAAGUUUCAUUUGCAACUAGAUGAGGGUAUCUUUGGAUGAGAUAGUGUGGUUAUUAUUGUUGGAUUAUAACUUUAUACACAACAGUCAAGCUUGAAGUAUUUACUGUUCAACUUAACUUUUUAUAUAUAAAUAAAGCAAUUAAAGCACCUAUCAUAUCUAGGUUACCAUAGUAUCAAUAGUUAAAUUUUUCUAAUAGAAUUCCUGAUAAACUUUAACCUUUGUCUAAUUCCUCAUUGACCUACAUAUUUUGGAUAGGGUGCAGAGUACCCUAUUGCUGUUAUAAUUAAAUUGGUUUUGGAUUAGGUAAUAUAACUCCAUUUUUUUUUUUGUCAAGCAAUCAAGCCUCAUGAUAUUCAAAUUAUGAUGAUGAUGAUCAUUAUCAUCAUCAUAGAUAAGUCAACUGACAACCUUGGUUAUACAUCUCCAAAAAGCUCUAAUAUUUGCCAUCAAAUAAUUUACUGAUAACUAAAGUUACAGUAUACAAGAUAACAACUUCCUAGAGCAGAGUGGGAGAAUCAUUUUAAAUUUAAAGACAACACUGAUUAAAAUAUAGUGUAAAGAACAAAUUAGCAAAAAUUCUGUUAAAUACAUGGAAAAAUGUAAUUACUUUUACUGCAGAAUUGUAAUAAUAGAUGUUAAAAAUAGAAAUGUAAACUGAAGCCACAAUGACAUUUUUUUUUAAAUUUAAGAACAUUUAUAAUAAAUAUAAUGCUCCUAAUCAACAAAAAUAUUUUUUCUGUUGCUAAAUCAUGACCUUUUCCAUAAAGAUACAAUGCAUACAGUGGUUGAAGAGCAAAACUGUUGCUACCUUUGAAAAAGCUGCCUAAGUAUAUUGCAUUUAGGCCAAUAUAUAUGUAUUUAUGUUAUCUUUGUGACCUGUUGUUUGAAUUCUGGAAAAAGUAGGUACAUUACACACAUAUAUUGGGUUGCCCAAAAGUCUGUUAGGAUUUUUAAGUAAAAAUAAGACACAGAUUUUAAACACAAAAUGAUUUAAUCAAUCAAUGACAUAAUUACUCUUUUCUUCAACUAUCUUCUGCAAUCAGGUGGGCAGAUUUAUUAUUACCUGUUCAAAGAAUUUUGUGUUUUUACUCAGGAAAAAUGCUUCCAGGUAAAUUUUUACAACCUCUUCAAAGUUAAAGGUCUGUCCAUUCAAUGAAUUUUGAAGAGGCCCAAACAGGUAGAAAUCUGAAGGUGUAAGGUCAGGCAAAUAUGGAGGGUAUGGCAAAAUUUCCCAGCCAAGUCUAUAUAAUUUCUGCAGCAUCUUACUAAUACCUUGACACUACUUCUCACUUUUCUUUCUAAUAUCCCUCUCUCUAACACUGUUGCUAUUAGUAUCUCUGUUACUACCCUAUGUUAAAAUUAAACUUAUGUAACUCCAAGAAGAACUGUACUGGACCCUGACAAACUGUUCAAACUAUGCUGGCAUGGCAGACAACUGACUUUUGCCAUCACCAUUCCCUCCUAAUCAACCCAGCCAAUUACCAUAACCACUUUGUCACCACUUUCCAUCACACUAUUCCCUAAUAAUUACUCUCCCCGUUCCAAAGCCUUUUAAUUUUUCUAGCCAAUCUAACAAAAUGAUCUUUCCUAAUUCUGUCUCAUCCAGGACACUCUAAAUUCAACUCUUAACACUGAUAAAAUUUUACAUUUUUUCUGUCUAUAUAGGAAUUUAUAUCAGUUUAAAGAAAUAUGUAAUGAUGUGCUUGAUUCUCUUUGAGCUCUUGUUCUAUAUCAUGCAUAUCCAACAUCUCAACGAUUAUAGAAAUUGUCAUAGAAAGUCAAUUCAUUUCCCUCCAACCUCUCUCUCUCUCUCCAGUUACUAACAGUAUGGUUUCUGUAUAACCUGGUCUAUUGGAAUUCGUCUUUCCUACAUCAGAUAAUGGAGGUUUUUUUCACAUGAUAACUUUUGAGAAAGCAAACUUGUUAAACCCCAGUGAUGAAUUCUUGUCAUUUCUGACCUUAGAACAUUCAAGUGAAUUUGUCUGCUUAUGGACAAGAUCCAUUUGGCUUGGAGGUUUCCAUUUAACUGUGCUUUUGCAAUGAGCAUUGCAGGGAUCUCUCACAACCACAUUGUAUCAAUGCCACUCUACCACCCAAGUUACAUUUCCCACAUAACAACAGUCUAUUUGCUAUUAUUUCUAACCAUACAUUCUUCAAUAUAAAUAAUACCAGCCUUUAAUCUUCCUUCCUUCUGGACAUACUUACACCAUCCAAAUCUUAGACAUCCCUGCCAAACUUUCUCUGCCUAAAAAACACACUCAAAUUGGGAUGUAAUAACCUUGUCACCUUUAACUUAUCAAAGAUCCAACUGAUUAACAUGAAACAGUGAUACAGUGCAGUCAUUCUAAGCAUGAUCUAUACACGGCUAAAUCCUUCAAUGUCACAAUAAAUGCUAGGUUUAUUCUCAUACCACAGGCUUAGCUAUCUGUCCAGUUUGUGUUGGUUGUUAUAAUCUUUCUGACUUCGUUAUAACAUUUUCCCAAUCUUGCAGAAUACCAAAAUGAACUAAUAUUGAUUUACAACUUCUCUCUCUAUUUAUGACUCCUUCAAACUUACUUAUUCUGUUCCUACAAAGUGCAUCACAUGUUUCUUAAAAUAUUUACAGCCUCCCUUCAAACAAAAAAAAGUCAUUAGUGUUUUUGGCUUCAGGUUUCCUUUUACAAAUAAUUACUUGUACUCUAUACUGUAUGAAAAGGGCUGCAACUUGUUGAGUUGGUAAGGUCUUAAAUGGUUGACUGAAAGGUUCAUGGCUUCUAUCACAUUAUAAUGCACUAUUGAUUCAUGAUUCAUAAUUAAAACAGAUUAACCAUUUCUUGCAAACAGCUUGAAACGGGUUGAUUUGUCUCAAAAUAAAUACACCAGGAGUAACACAAAUGCAAGGUAUUACGUGACAGAUGCAUAUUUUGGUUGCCUAUCCCUUAGUCUUGUAUUUCCAGGUUACCAACUAGACUAAAAGUUACCAUUUCUAUUUGUUCUCUAUCUUUGUGUUAGCUAGUUAUUCCAUAUCCUCAAGUCAUCUUCAGUUUGUCAUUUAUUUCUACUGGUUUGCAUUUCUUAGAGAUAUCUGCUAUUCCAGAAUGACUGGAUCAUUCGUUAUUUCUAGUUUCUAAGAAAGAAAAGUACAGGUUGAUAAUUAAGCUAAUGAGACAAUCAGUUUGGUUAUCACUAGAAAAGAAAAACAAGAGAAACAAUCAGUAAAUCACAUCACAAACAACAAUGAUGAAAAUAAACAUAAGGGAAAUACUUUAUAUCCUAUCAAUAGCUGACACUUCUUCAAGGAUCACUUACAUAAACUCCUCUAUUGAGGUCACGAAUCAUAUCCUUUGAGAUCUGACAUUGUUGGCAAAAUCCAAAAAGGGAACCUUCUGUUUCAUGGAUAUUCUAUUUGUGAAUCUUUUGUUUCGUACUAUCAGAGCCUUAUCUUUAAACCGUUACCAUGAAAUGUAACAAGAUACCCUUUAAGGUGGGUAUACAUUUCAGAAAUCUACCCUACACUGACCUCCCCAGUUCUUCAUUGAUUAGUUAGGUAGAAUACACUACUUUGCAUUCACGGGUUGACUGAGACAGUACAGAGCUUCUACCUAUAUAAAGCAAAGUAACGAGAAAUCUAAAGCAUAUUAUUACACACAGCUUGCCAGAAACACUUCCUCUACUCCAUGGAACUUAAUAUCAACCAUCAUAGAAACUAAUCACAUUCACAGCUCCAUUCCAUCCUCUCCCAUUAAGUGCCCCUCAUUAUAGAUUCUUGCUUACAAUAAUUAUAAAAAUUACAAUUACUCUUUUACAAGGAGGCAAGUUUAGAGAGUUGACAAAAUGGCAGGUUUAUACCAGGACAGUUACAGUUAACGUUGGAAGUGAAGCAGUAGAAUAUAUAUUAUAAUGUCUCAUUUAAUGUGUAUGUGUCAAUGUACGUAUGUAUGUAUGUUUAUCAUUGUAUAUACGUAUGUCUGAGUCUGAUUUUAUUCAUAUACUUGUGCAUCAGUGUAUAGAUGUAUGUGUAUGUGUGAUUCUGAAUGUGUAUGCCAUUAAAUACACACAUUUGUCUCAUUCAAUACACGCUUUUGUAUGUAUGUGUGUUUCCCUACUUGCAUGUAUGUCAUUUAAUGUAUAUGUGUACAUAUAUGUGUACAAGUGUCUGAUGUAUCAUUAUCAUGUAUGUGCCACUGUGUGUAAAUGUGUAUCAUUCUUUAUGUGUUUGCAUUACUAUCUUUAUUUAAGCUUGUGUAAUGUGUAUAGCUCAUUUGAGUUUCAGCCAAAAUUAUAAUAUAAUUAAUUAACAUAAAACCAAUCUCUAGUCAAUUUAGGAAAAAUACCAGCAACAACAACAACAUCAAAUCUAAAUAACCACAAUAAUAACUCUUUGUCUUUUAUUUCCAGGUGUGUAAACAAUAGAAACUUAUAAAUAAAAGUCAGGAAGAAAGAAAGUGAAAAUGGAUAACAAAAAGAAAUAAGAUAUAAAAACAAUGUUAAAAAGAAAUAUAAACUAAAACAAAAAAAUACAAAGAUCCCUUCUUUUCCUAUUAUCCUGUCAAAGGCAACAAUCCUAGGAAUGAAACUUACAUAAGGACCCAGAUUUUAUCAACUCUAUGGAUACUGUUCAUUCCAAGAGCAAGUCUGCAGGAAAACCUCUACAGGUAAUAAGUAAUAUUUUAUUUCAUCACUCUACAUCUACAGGUAUUAUACACUGCUCUGUACCUUUGUCUUACAAAAGCAUGAGACAUAGUAACUAUCAUUAAUCCUUAAUUUACAAAGAAAAAAUGGUGUGUAGGGAUAUAAUCACUAAUAUUUUCUGAUAAAACAAUAAAAUAUCUUAAGAAGAGAUGUGUGUCACUUGUGUGCUUACAACUGUAAAAUGAUUUAAUUACUUGCCAAGUAGAUUUUUGUAAUAAACUUCAACUUAUCACUAACAUCAUUAAGCUUCAUAAUAUUUUAUAGAUCAGUCUAACAGCAUAUGUUUUGUUUCUAUUGAACUUUUUGAUAUGUUUAUAGGCAUUGUUAUCAAUUGCUACUUUCUCAAAUAGUUGAAAUAAGAUUAUGUUUGACAAUUUUAGAACAAGCGAUGGUUAGCAUAUAUUUUUGGAUUAGGAAGACUAAAGCCAGCAAAAUGAAGAUUGUUAAUUAAAGGCCACAUCACAGUUAAGAUUAGAAAUAAUUUGUAUAACAACUAUAACUAUUUAGAGAAGCCAUCAACCUGAGACGGGGGUUUUCACUUGUCUUAUAGCUAAUUUAUUUCACUUACAACAUAAAAGACAUGGGCUAAAUGAUAAUUCAAUUUCCAUUUUGAAAUUGUUGGAAUAAGUAAUUUUUUAUGAAACAGAAGUAAUGGUAUCAUCGAUUUUCAACUAACUUGUCUGAGAUGGUAGUUUAAAAAUCAACUAGCAUUCGAGUGAUCCAGUUUCUUUAACCUCAUGGAAUUAAUACUCCAUAGGACUAUGGUAUAUCUAUCUUCAAGAUGAAAUUUCAUUAUUUAUACACAGGAAAUGGUUUCUUGCCUGUUGCAGUGCAUUCAUCCAUGUUAUCUAAUUAAAAAUAGGCCAUUUUGCUAAAGAUACAUGGCAACAUAGUUUCAGUGAAAGAACAUAGAAUAUAAACUAUUUUGGCUUUAAAACCAGUGCCACAAUAAUGAAGUAAAGUAUCUCACAUAUCACUCGCUCAUAAAAAAAAAUAAUAAUUCAUUUAAAAUCUUCAACUUGUCAGUUUCACUGGUAAAUAAUUAACACCAUUUUUAAAAAAAUUAAGAAUGGAGGGUUUAUUUUUUAAAACUAAAAUGAUAAUUUUAUUCCAUAAAAAAAAAUAUUCAGUCAGACUACCAGAUAACAAUAUGAUAAAUAUGAAUUAGUUGAGCAGGUAAUUAAGUGGUCAUAGGCCAUAUUAUGAAAAAGAAAGACAGAGAAGACAAUUAGGGCAUUUGUUCCUUCCAAGAGGUUCAUGUGCAAAAUAGUUACAACUAAGAAUCAAUACAAAGUUACGUAUACAAUGUAUCUGAUGCUUUCCAUCAUUUUUAUUUUCCCUCACCCCAGUUUCUUAGCAUCUCCAUCUAUAACUACCAGCGUCACACAUUCUUUCAUAACAUUACCCUGAUGUCAAGCCCACACCACCACCAUCAAAUUGGUUACUCACCCUUAAAAAAAUAUAUAAAAUAAA